rnacentral:rRNA from 1 species
CCGGAGAAUGUUAUCACGGGAGACACACGGCGGGUGCUAACGUCCGUCGUGAAGAGGGAAACAACCCAGACCGCCAGCUAAGGUCCCAAAGUCAUGGUUAAGUGGGAAACGAUGUGGGAAGGCCCAGACAGCCAGGAUGUUGGCUUAGAAGCAGCCAUCAUUUAAAGAAAGCGUAAUAGCUCACUGGUCGAGUCGGCCUGCGCGGAAGAUGUAACGGGGCUAAACCAUGCACCGAAGCUGCGGCAGCGACACUCAGGUGUUGUUGGGUAGGGGAGCGUUCUGUAAGCCUGYGAAGGUGGCCUGUGAGGGUUGCUGGAGGUAUCAGAAGUGCGAAUGCUGACAUAAGUAACGAUAAAGCGGGUGAAAAGCCCGCUCGCCGGAAGACCAAGGGUUCCUGUCCAACGUUAAUCGGGGCAGGGUGAGUCGACCCCUAAGGCGAGGCCGAAAGGCGUAGUCGAUGGGAAACGGGUUAAUAUUCCCGUACUUGGUGUUACUGCGAAGGGGG